rnacentral:rRNA from 1 species
GAUGAACGCUGGCGGCGCGCCUAAUACAUGCAAGUCGAGCGAACGGACGAGAAGCUUGCUUCUCUGAUGUUAGCGGCGGACGUGUGAGUAACACGUGGAUAACCUACCUAUAAGACUGGGAUAACUUCGGGAAACCGUAGCUAAUACCGGAUAAUAUUUUGAACCGCAUGGUUCAAAAGUGAAAGACGGUCUUGCUGUCACUUAUAGAUGGAUCCGCGCUGCAUUAGCUAGUUGGUAAGGUAACGGCUUACCAAGGCAACGAUGCAUAGCCGACCUGAGAGGGUGAUCGGCCACACUGGAACUGAACCACGGUCCAGACUCCUACGGGAGGCAGCAGUAGGGAAUCUUCCGCAAUGGGCGAAAGCCUGACGGAGCAACGCCGCGUGAGUGAUGAAGGUCUUCGGAUCGUAAAACUCUGUUAUUAGGGAAGAACAUAUGUGUAAGUAACUGUGCACAUCUUGACGGUACCUAAUCAGAAAGCCACGGCUAACUACGUG